ACAAGAAAAGCCUGAAACAUAAUAAUAAAACCCUAAUAAUAAAAAUAAUUCUCAUCACUUUUCGCUCCUCAGCAAAAGUCUAAUCUAAAGAUUACAUUAGAUUGAAAGGGGGCUACACAUUCCAGUUUAUUAUCUAGGCGGCCUAGAUUAAUCUUGUUUUCUUUUAGUUUUUUUCCAAUCUCAAUCAUGGACGCCCAAAGAGCUUUGCUUGAUGAACUCAUGGGUGCAGCUCGUAAUUUGACUGAAGAAGAGAGGAAGGGGUACAAGGAAAUUACAUGGGACAGUAAGGAAGUGUGCAGCUUCUAUAUGGUUCGCUUUUGCCCCCACGAUUUGUUUGUCAACACAAGAAGUGAUCUAGGACCAUGCCCUAAAAUUCAUGAUCAAAAGUUGAAGGAAAGCUUUGAGAAGUCUCCUAGGCACGACGCAUAUGUUCCAAAGUUUGAGGCUGAGCUGGCUCAUUUCUGUGAGAAAUUGGUUAUGGACUUAGAUAGACGAGUUAGGCGUGGUCGAGAACGUCUUGCUCAAGAGAUUGACGUUCCCCCUCCUCCUCCUAUCCCAGCAGAAAAGUCUGAGCAAUUAGCUGUUUUGGAGGAAAAAAUAAAGAACCUACUGGAACAAGUGGAGUCUCUUGGUGAAGCUGGAAAGGUUGAUGAAGCCGAAGCGCUAAUGAGGAAGGUGGAAGUGCUCAAUGCUGAGAAGACAGCUUUAACACAGCAACCUCAACAAGAUAAAGUCUUGAUGAUGGCACAGGAGAAAAAGAUGGCUCUGUGUGAGAUAUGUGGUUCUUUUCUAGUUGCAAAUGAUGCUGCUGAGAGAACUCAGUCGCAUGUCACUGGAAAACAGCAUAUGGGAUAUGGUAUGGUCCGAGAUUAUCUUGCAGAGUACAAGGAAGCUAAGGAGAAGAAAAGAGAGGAAGAAAGACUAGCCCGGGAAAAAGAAGCAGAAGAAAGGAGGAAGCAAAGGGAGAAAGAGUAUGAAAGCAGACAUAGAAGAAGUGAGUCAUCUGAGAGGGACAGGUAUCGUGAUCGAGAUCACAAUCGGGAACGAGAUCGAUACAGGGAGCGAGAUGGUGACCGUGAAAGAUCUCGAGAGGGGAAUAGCAGAGAAACUCGAGAGGGGGGUAGAGGAUCAGAUUGGAAGUACAGCAGUUCCCGGAAUGGAAGAGAUAGAAGCAGGGAAAGAUACCGCCAGCGUGACAGAAGCCGGUCACGUUCUCCUGUUAGAUAUGGUAACCGGAGAUCAUCCAGGAGUCCAGUCCGUCAAUAUUGAGGACAUUGGAUGGGUGUUUGAAUUUUAAAUGAGAAGAGCUUUAUUGAGACUGUAUCAUCUCCCUAUCAUCGAUAUAUUUAGAGAGAAAAGGUUGAGGUAGGUAUGACUUCGUUGUUGUAACUAUUCAAUGAUCUAUCUAGACUUUGGUUGAUCUAAUUGAUUUAUCAAUCAUCUGUGAUAUGCCUACCAGAGUUCUGGUUCCUUCUUUUUUGGGAUCACUCUGGGAAUCUUUUCUCAAGUAGUUAUAGAACAGAUACUCUAUAUGUGCAUGGAUAUUACUGCUGCUGAAGGAGUUAACAGUUUGAUCAACUGUGAGGUAACAAGUAAAUUUUGAUUUUCUUAACCGUAAAAUGACUUCCUAACUAUCAAUAGUUUGGGCUUUGUGUUUUCUUGUCUGCUCAGAUGACCGAUUGCAGAUUCUUGUACUCCACUUACAUUAGCUGCCAAUGAGCUAAUGAAUAGGGAUCUCCUUAGGUUUUCUCUGAUAAUUUAUCUGAUGAUUUUGAAAAAAAGGUAAACUCAUUCUUCCUUGAUUAAGUGCCUUAAUGUCUGUUCACUCAACGAGUUGAACUCUGCAGGCACUAUGAAGAUGAAAAGGCAGCUAACCAGACAACAUAAAAGAAGAGAAGUUUAAAAGCAAUCUGGUUAUGGAUAAGAACACAUAAUUUAGUCAAAGAUAUAAGAGCAAGUUGCGGAUGACCCUUAAUAGUCAAUGGUAAUCUUGAUCUCGUCCUUCAUAUUAGCUUUUGAAUUUGUCCACGGAAAUUUGCUUGGGCGUUUUGGCUGUUUCAAACCAACUUAGCAACCAUUUUUUGUUCAAAUAAACCUGUCGCACACAAGACAAGGUCCAAGAUAUUUCUUUUUUGGCUUGGCAGAACCAUUCAUUGAAUGUUUGGAAAUGGAUAUAUUGGUUCUUUGCAUAUUCAGACAUGGUAUGUUAACUUCCAGCUGCCUUAGUCUGUGCACUAGGAUGGGAGUCUUCUCCCCUAUGAAGAAUCUAGCACUGAAGAUUCUCGCUUGGAGGUCUUAUUGCAGAAGUUCAAUCUUAAGUUUGCAAAGGGGGUGUCGUCAAUUGAAAUAUAGCGGAUUCAAUUUGCAAACUGUGAACAUCUUUCCAUGUAUUUGUGCAAGGUGCAGUUUUUCAGGUUUUGAUUCUGAUGGGCUGGCUGCAUCUGAAACGCAACUGUUAUUGGUGUUCCAAAAUUUUGAGGCGUCUUCUUUUGUGAGUCAAAUCGUCAAUUUUACUAUACCAACUGGAGGGAUUUUGAAGAUCUAUUACUUGGGUUGGUGAUGGAAGCUUGAAGGUGAUUGAACGCUAUAGCUAAUGCAGAUUAGAUAGGUUUUCAGUUUUGUUCUUUUUUCCUUCGCAAAUAGAGUCCUACAUUGCUAGACCUUUUUUCUAUUGCUCUAGAUGGUUUAGCCCCGUGUUUUUUCUGAAAAACAUCGCCUAUAUUGAUUGAACUUCAAAUGUAAGAAGGCCGUAUCUUACAUGGUCUCCUAUAAG